CCUACGGGAGGCAGCAGUGAGGAAUAUUGGACAAUGGUCGAAAGACUGAUCCAGCCAUGCCGCGUGCAGGAAGACGGCCCUAUGGGUUGUAAACUGCUUUUGUUUGGGAAGAAACCUUUCUACGCGUAGAAAGCUGACGGUACCAUACGAAUAAGCACCGGCUAACUCCGUGCCAGCAGCCGCGGUAAUACGGAGGGUGCAAGCGUUAUCCGGAUUUAUUGGGUUUAAAGGGUCCGUAGGCGGACUUAUAAGUCAGUGGUGAAAUCCUGCAGCUCAACUGUAGAACUGCCAUUGAUACUGUAAGUCUUGAAUUCGGUUGAAGUGGGCGGAAUAUGGCAUGUAGCGGUGAAAUGCUUAGAUAUGCCAUAGAACACCGAUUGCGUAGGCAGCUCACUAAGCCUGGAUUGACGCUGAGGGACGAAAGCGUGGGUAGCGAACAGGAUUAGAUACCCUGGUAGUCCACGCCGUAAACGAUGAUUACUCGACAUUAGCGAUACACGUAGUGUNAUAAGACGAAGACGAUUAAGUAAUACCACCGUCGGGUAAGGUACGUUCGUUCGAAGAAGUUAGAAACGUACAAUUAGAGUUAGACGGGCGUUGAGACGUUGCCGACGGACGACCGACCGAGGGGAAGGUUAGGGAGG
rnacentral:rRNA from 1 species